UACGGAGGAUUCUAGCGUUGUCCGGAUUUAUUGGGUUUAAAGGGUGCGUAGGCGGAUUAUUAAGUCAGAGGUGAAAGCCGGCAGCUCAACUGUCGAAUUGCCUUUGAAACUGGUAGUCUUGAAUACUGUUGAGGUGGGCGGAAUGUAUCAUGUAGCGGUGAAAUGCUUAGAUAUGAUACAGAACACCGAUUGCGAAGGCAGCUCACUAAGCAGUUAUUGACGCUGAGGCACGAAAGCGUGGGGAUCAAACAGG
rnacentral:rRNA from 1 species